rnacentral:rRNA from 1 species
AGCGUACACGGUGGAUGCCUUGGCAGUCAGAGGCGAUGAAAGACGUAGUAACUUGCGAUAAGCCCAGAUUAGGUAGUAACAACCAUUUGAGUCUGGGAUUUCUGAAUGGGGAAACCCACGUGCAUAAGCACGUAUCCUUACCUGAAUACAUAGGGUAAGGAGGCGAACCGGGGGAACUGAAACAUCUAAGUACCCCGAGGAAAAGAAAUCAACCGAGAUUCCGAAAGUAGCGGCGAGCGAAAUUGGACUAGCCCUUAAGCUUUACACGCGUUAGACGAACGGUCUGGAAAGUCCGACGAUACAGGGUGAUAGUCCCGUAGUUGACGACGUGUGUUCAGUGAAAUCGAGUAGGGCGGGACACGUGAUAUCCUGUCUGAAUAUGGGGGGACCAUCCUCCAAGGCUAAAUACUACUGACUGACCGAUAGUGAACCAGUACCGUGAGGGAAAGGCGAAAAGAACCCCUGUGAGGGGAGUGAAAUAGAACCUGAAACCGUGUACGUACAAGCAGUAGGAGCACCUUCGUGGUGUGACUGCGUACCUUUUGUAUAAUGGGUCAGCGACUUAUAUUCAGUGGCAAGGUUAACCAUCUAGGGGAGCCGUAGGGAAACCGAGUCUUAACUGGGCGUUCAGUCUCUGGAUAUAGACCCGAAACCAGGUGAUCUAGCCAUGGGCAGGUUGAAGGUUGAGUAACAUCAACUGGAGGACCGAACCGACUAAUGUUGAAAAAUUAGCGGAUGACUUGUGGCUAGGGGUGAAAGGCCAAUCAAACCUGGAGAUAGCUGGUUCUCCCCGAAAGCUAUUUAGGUAGCGCCUCGGACGAAUACUACUGGGGGUAGAGCACUGUUAAGGCUAGGGGGUCAUCCCGACUUACCAACCCUUUGCAAACUCCGAAUACCAGUAAGUACUAUCCGGGAGACACACGGCGGGUGCUAACGUCCGUCGUGGAGAGGGAAACAACCCAGACCGCCAGCUAAGGUCCCAAAUUACUACUAAGUGGGAAACGAUGUGGGAAGGCUCAGACAGCCAGGAUGUUGGCUUAGAAGCAGCCAUCAUUUAAAGAAAGCGUAAUAGCUCACUGGUCGAGUCGGCCUGCGCGGAAGAUGUAACGGGGCUAAGUAGUAAACCGAAGCUGCGGCAAUAUACUUUUGUAUAUUGGGUAGGGGAGCGUUCUGUAAGCGGUUGAAGGUGUGUGGUAACGCAUGCUGGACGUAUCAGAAGUGCGAAUGCUGACAUGAGUAACGAUAAAGGGGGUGAAAAACCUCCUCGCCGGAAGACCAAGGGUUCCUGUCCAACGUUAAUCGGGGCAGGGUAAGUCGACCCCUAAGGCGAGGCCGAAAGGCGUAGUCGAUGGGAAACGGGUUAAUAUUCCCGUACUUCUUACAAUUGCGAUGGGGGGACGGAGAAGGCUAGGUGGGCCUGGCGACGGUUGUCCAGGUUCAAGUGCGUAGGCUUGAGAGUUAGGUAAAUCCGGCUCUUUCUAAGGCUGAGACACGACGUCGAGCACCUACGGGUGUGAAGUCAUUGAUGCCAUGCUUCCAGGAAAAGCCUCUAAGCUUCAGAUUGUAAGGAAUCGUACCCCAAACCGACACAGGUGGUCGGGUAGAGAAUACCAAGGCGCUUGAGAGAACUCGGGUGAAGGAACUAGGCAAAAUGGUACCGUAACUUCGGGAGAAGGUACGCUCUCGACGGUGAAGUCCCUCGCGGAUGGAGCUAUUGAGAGUCGCAGAUACCAGGUGGCUGCAACUGUUUAUUAAAAACACAGCACUGUGCAAAAUCGUAAGAUGACGUAUACGGUGUGACGCCUGCCCGGUGCCGGAAGGUUAAUUGAUGGGGUUAGACUUCGGUCGAAGCUCUUGAUCGAAGCCCCGGUAAACGGCGGCCGUAACUAUAACGGUCCUAAGGUAGCGAAAUUCCUUGUCGGGUAAGUUCCGACCUGCACGAAUGGCGUAAUGAUGGCCACGCUGUCUCCACCCGAGACUCAGUGAAAUUGAAAUCGCUGUGAAGAUGCAGUGUACCCGCGGCUAGACGGAAAGACCCCGUGAACCUUUACUACAGCUUGGCACUGAACAUUGACCCUACAUGUGUAGGAUAGGUGGGAGGCUUUGAAGCACGUACGCCAGUAUGUGUGGAGCCGUCCUUGAAAUACCACCCUUGUAGUGUUGAUGUUCUAACGUCGACCCCUAAUCGGGGUUGCGGACAGUGCCUGGUGGGUAGUUUGACUGGGGCGGUCUCCUCCCAAAGAGUAACGGAGGAGCACGAAGGUGGGCUAAUCACGGUUGGACAUCGUGAGGUUAGUGCAAUGGCAUAAGCCCGCUUGACUGCGAGAAUGACAAUUCGAGCAGGUGCGAAAGCAGGUCAUAGUGAUCCGGUGGUUCUGAAUGGAAGGGCCAUCGCUCAACGGAUAAAAGGUACUCCGGGGAUAACAGGCUGAUACCGCCCAAGAGUUCAUAUCGACGGCGGUGUUUGGCACCUCGAUGUCGGCUCAUCACAUCCUGGGGCUGAAGUCGGUCCCAAGGGUAUGGCUGUUCGCCAUUUAAAGUGGUACGCGAGCUGGGUUUAGAACGUCGUGAGACAGUUCGGUCCCUAUCUGCCGUGGGCGUUGGAAGAUUGAAGGGGGCUGCUCCUAGUACGAGAGGACCGGAGUGGACGAACCUCUGGUGUUCGGGUUGUGUCGCCAGACGCAUUGCCCGGUAGCUAAGUUCGGAAUCGAUAACCGCUGAAAGCAUCUAAGCGGGAAGCGAGCCCUGAGAUGAGUCUUCCCUGAUACUUUAAGUAUCCUAAAGGGUUGU